GACAGAGGGUGCAAACGUUGUUCGGAAUUACUGGGCGUAAAGCGUGUGUAGGCGGUCCGCUAAGUCGGGUGUGAAAGCCCUGGGCUCAACCCAGGAAGUGCACUCGAAACUGGCGGGUUAGAGUAUCGGAGAGGUUGGUGGAAUUCUCGGUGUAGAGGUGAAAUUCGUAGAUAUCGAGAGGAACACCGGUGGCGAAGGCGGCCAACUGGACGAAUACUGACGCUGAGACACGAAAGCGUGGGGAGCAAACAGG
rnacentral:rRNA from 1 species